rnacentral:rRNA from 1 species
CAGCCGCCGCGGUAAUACGUAGGGUGCAAGCGUUAAUAGGAAUUACUGGGCGUAAAGCGUGCGCAGGCGGUUAUAUAAGACAGAUGUGAAAUCCCCGGGCUCAACCUGGGAACUGCAUUUGUGACUGUAUAGCUAGAGUACGGCAGAGGGGGAUGGAAUUCCGCGUGUAGCAGUGAAAUGCGUAGAUAUGCGGAGGAACACCGAUGGCGAAGGCAAUCCCCUGGGCCUGUACUGACGCUCAUGCACGAAAGCGUGGGGAGCAAACAGGAUUAGAUACCCCUGUAGUCCCUGUCUCUUAUAC